rnacentral:rRNA from 1 species
UACUCCUACGGGAGGCAGCAGUGGGGAAUUUUGGACAAUGGGCGAAAGCCUGAUCCAGCAAUGCCGCGUGUGUGAAGAAGGCCUUCGGGUUGUAAAGCGCUUUUGUCCGGAAAGAAAUCCUUGGCUCUAAUACAGUCGGGGGAUGACGGUACCGGAAGAAUAAGCACCGGCUAACUACGUGCCAGCAGCCGCGGUAAUACGUAGGGUGCAAGCGUUAAUCGGAAUUACUGGGCGUAAAGCGUGCGCAGGCGGUUUGCUAAGACCGAUGUGAAAUCCCCGGGCUCAACCUGGGAACUGCAUUGGUGACUGGCAGGCUAGAGUAUGGCAGAGGGGGGGUAGAAUUCCACGUGUAGCAGUGAAAUGCGUAGAGAUGUGGAGGAAUACCGAUGGCGAAGGCAGCCCCCUGGGCCAAUACUGACGCUCAUGCACGAAAGCGUGGGGAGCAAACAGGAUUAGAUACCCUGGUAGUCCACGCCCUAAACGAUGUCAACUAGUUGUUGGGGAUUCAUUUCCUUAGUAACGUAGCUAACGCGUGAAGUUGACCGCCUGGGGAGUACGGUCGCAAGAUUAAAACUCAAAGGAAUUGACGGA